rnacentral:rRNA from 1 species
AAUCAACGCUGGCGGCGUGCGUAAAACAUGUAAGUCGAACGGAGUCGACGCAAGUCGGCUCAGUGGCGGACGGCUGAGUAACGCGUAGGUGACUUGCCCUGAAGUGGGGAAUAGCGAUUCGAGAGAAGCGCUAAUACCGCAUGGGGUUGUGCGUAUGGACGCGUGCAACUAGAGCUCGCAAGGGCGCUUCGGGAGGGGCGCGCGUCCGAUUAGGUAGUUGGUGGGAUAAAAGCUUACCAAGCCGACGAUCUGUAGCGGGUCUGAGAGGACGACCAGCCACACUGGGACUGAGACACGGCCCAGACUCCUACGGGAGGCAGCAGUGGGGAAUUUUGGACAAUGGGCGCAAGCCUGAUCCAGCCAUGCCGCGUGCAGGAUGAAGGCCUUCGGGUUGUAAACUGCUUUUGUACGGAACGAAAAGACUCUGGUUAAUACCUGGGGUCCAUGACGGUACCGUAAGAAUAAGCACCGGCUAACUACGUGCCAGCCGCCGCGGUAACAC